GGCAUCAUGCAUAAACCAUAGAAAGGGAAUGCCACAUAGGGAAUCCCGUGUUUAGGAAUAAGCCACCUUGUGUCUCGGAUACUUAAUCCAGUGAGACUUGCACGUUUACAUUGUUGUACCAUCCAAAGGGGUAGUGCACAAGGUAAGGUAGGAUCCGAUCGUCUUUCAUAGAGUGAUCUUUGGAAUAUGAGCAUCUAAUAAUCACUUUUUGGCCAUUUUAUCAAAAAUUGGUAAAAAUCCCUUGCGUGAAGGACA
rnacentral:lncRNA from 1 species